GAUAAACGCUGGCGGCGUGCCUAAUACAUGCAAGUCGAGCGAACGGACGAGAAGCUUGCUUCUCUGAUGUUAGCGGCGGACGGGUGAGUAACACGUGGAUAACCUACCUAUAAGACUGGGAUAACUUCGGGAAACCGGAGCUAAUACCGGAUAAUAUUUUGAACCGCAUGGUUCAAAAGUGAAAGACGGUCUUGCUGUCACUUAUAGAUGGAUCCGCGCUGCAUUAGCUAGUUGGUAAGGUAACGGCUUACCAAGGCAACGAUGCAUAGCCGACCUGAGAGGGUGAUCGGCCACACUGGAACUGAGACACGGUCCAGACUCCUACGGGAGGCAGCAGUAGGGAAUCUUCCGCAAUGGGCGAAAGCCUGACGGAGCAACGCCGCGUGAGUGAUGAAGGUCUUCGGAUCGUAAAACUCUGUUAUUAGGGAAGAACAUAUGUGUAAGUAACUGUGCACAUCUUGACGGUACCUAAUCAGAAAGCCACGGCUAACUACGUGCCAGCAGCCGCGGUAAUACGUAGGUGGCAAGCGUUAUCCGGAAUUAUUGGGCGUAAAGCGCGCGUAGGCGGUUUUUUAAGUCUGAUGUGAAAGCCCACGGCUCAACCGUGGAGGGUCAUUGGAAACUGGAAAACUUGAGUGCAGAAGAGGAAAGUGGAAUUCCAUGUGUAGCGGUGAAAUGCGCAGAGAUAUGGAGGAACACCAGUGGCGAAGGCGACUUUCUGGUCUGUAACUGACGCUGAUGUGCGAAAGCGUGGGGAUCAAACAGGAUUAGAUACCCUGGUAGUCCACGCCGUAAACGAUGAGUGCUAAGUGUUAGGGGGUUUCCGCCCCUUAGUGCUGCAGCUAACGCAUUAAGCACUCCGCCUGGGGAGUACGACCGCAAGGUUGAAACUCAAAGGAAUUGACGGGGACCCGCACAAGCGGUGGAGCAUGUGGUUUAAUUCGAAGCAACGCGAAGAACCUUACCAAAUCUUGACAUCCUUUGACAACUCUAGAGAUAGAGCCUUCCCCUUCGGGGGACAAAGUGACAGGUGGUGCAUGGUUGUCGUCAGCUCGUGUCGUGAGAUGUUGGGUUAAGUCCCGCAACGAGCGCAACCCUUAAGCUUAGUUGCCAUCAUUAAGUUGGGCACUCUAAGUUGACUGCCGGUGACAAACCGGAGGAAGGUGGGGAUGACGUCAAAUCAUCAUGCCCCUUAUGAUUUGGGCUACACACGUGCUACAAUGGACAAUACAAAGGGCAGCGAAACCGCGAGGUCAAGCAAAUCCCAUAAAGUUGUUCUCAGUUCGGAUUGUAGUCUGCAACUCGACUGCAUGAAGCUGGAAUCGCUAGUAAUCGUAGAUCAGCAUGCUACGGUGAAUACGUUCCCGGGUCU
rnacentral:rRNA from 1 species